rnacentral:rRNA from 1 species
UACGUAGGGUGCAAACGUUGCUCGGAAUCAUUGGGCGUAAAGCGCACGUAGGUGGCUUGUUAAGUCGGGUGUGAAAUCCCUGGGCUCAACCCAGGAAGUGCACUCGAAACUGGCGAGCUUGAGUACUGAAGAGGGUCGCGGAAUUCCCGGUGUAGAGGUGAAAUUCGUAGAUAUCGGGAGGAACACCAGUGGCGAAGGCGGCGACCUGGGCAGAUACUGACACUGAGGUGCGAAAGCGUGGGGAGCAAACAGG